rnacentral:rRNA from 1 species
CGGCGCGACGGGUGAACGUAACGACGUUACUACCCAACCUACCCUACUAUACCGUACCGGGGAUAAUAACCGAUUGAAAGUCGGUUCUAAUACCGGAUAUAAUGUAAAGCUGACAUCGAUUUUACAUGAAAGAAUUUUGGUGUGAGAUGGGGAUGCGUCUGAUUAGCUUGUUGGCGGGGUAACGGCCCACCAAGGCAUCGAUCAGUAGGGGUUCUGAGAGGAAGGUCCCCCACAUUGGAACUGAGACACGGUCCAAACUCCUACGGGAGGCAGCAGUGAGGAAUAUUGGUCAAUGGGCGAGAGCCUGAACCAGCCAAGUAGCGUGCAGGAUGACGGCCCUAUGGGUUGUAAACUGCUUUUAUGCGGGGAUAAAGUGUGCCACGUGUGGCAUAUUGCAGGUACCGCAUGAAUAAGGACCGGCUAAUUCCGUGCC